GUCCUAGUGGUCUAGGGGUUAGAGUGUCCACCUCGGAUGCAGGAGGUCAUGGGUUCGAUCCCCAGUUGAGCAUG